CGCAGCCGCGGUAAUUCCAGCUCCAAUAGCGUAUAUUAAAGUUGCUGCAGUUAAAAAGCUCGUAGUUGAAUUUCGGGACUAAUAUGUCGGUCGUGCCUCGGUACGUACUGGUUUAUUGGUUUCUCCUUUCUGAAGAACCAUGAUGUCAUUUAUUUGGUGUCGUGGGGAAUCAGGACUGUUACUUUGAAAAAUUAGAGUGUUUAAAGCAGGCUAACGCUUGAAUACAUUAGCAUGGAAUAAUGAAAUAGGACGUUCGAUCCUAUUUUGUUGGUUUCUAGGAUUGACGUAAUGAUUAAUAGGGAUAGUUGGGGGCAUUAGUAUUCAAUUGUCAGAGGUGAAAUUCUUGGAUUUAUUGAAGACUAACUACUGCGAAAGCAUUUGCCAAGGAUGUUUUCAUUAAUCAAGAACGAAAGUUAGGGGAUCGAAGACGAUCAGAUACCGUCGUAGUCUUAACCAUAAACUAUGCUGACUAGGGAUCGGAUGAUGUUAAUUUUUUAAUGUACUCAUUCGGCGCCUUACG
rnacentral:rRNA from 1 species